rnacentral:rRNA from 1 species
UACGUAGGGUGCGAGCGUUAAUCGGAAUUACUGGGCGUAAAGCGUGCGCAGGCGGCUUUGCAAGACAGAUGUGAAAUCCCCGGGCUCAACCUGGGAACUGCAUUUGUGACUGCAAGGCUAGAGUACGGCAGAGGGGGAUGGAAUUCCGCGUGUAGCAGUGAAAUUCGUAGAUAUGCGGAGGAACACCGAUGGCGAAGGCAAUCCCCUGGACCUGUACUGACGCUCAUGCACGAAAGCGUGGGGAGCAAACAGG